AAUCCAUAGGUUAAUGAGGCGAACCGGGGGAACUGAAACAUCUAAGUACCCCGAGGAAAAGAAAUCAACCGAGAUUCCCCCAGUAGCGGCGAGCGAACGGGGAGGAGCCCAGAGCCUGAAUCAGCAUGUGUGUUAGUGGAAGCGUCUGGAAAGGCGCGCGAUACAGGGUGACAGCCCCGUACACAAAAGCGCAUGUGCUGUGAGCUCGAUGAGUAGGGCGGGACACGUGGUAUCCUGUCUGAAUAUGGGGGGACCAUCCUCCAAGGCUAAAUACUCCUGACUGACCGAUAGUGAACCAGUACCGUGAGGGAAAGGCGAAAAGAACCCCGGCGAGGGGAGUGAAAAAGAACCUGAAACCGUGUACGUACAAGCAGUGGGAGCACAGGUUUACCUGUGUGACUGCGUACCUUUUGUAUAAUGGGUCAGCGACUUAUAUUCUGUAGCAAGGUUAACCGAAUAGGGGAGCCGGAGGGAAACCGAGUCUUAAUUGGGCGUUAAGUUGCAGGGUAUAGACCCGAAACCCGGUGAUCUAGCCAUGGGCAGGUUGAAGGUUGGGUAACACUAACUGGAGGACCGAACCGACUAAUGUUGAAAAAUUAGCGGAUGACCUGUGGCUGGGGGUGAAAGGCCAAUCAAACCGGGAGAUAGCUGGUUCUCCCCGAAAGCUAUUUAGGUAGCGCCUCGUGAAUUCAUCUCCGGGGGUAGAGCACUGUUUCGGCUAGGGGGCCAUCCCGGCUUACCAACCCGAUGCAAACUGCGAAUACCGGAGAAUGUUAUCACGGGAGACACACGGCGGGUGCUAACGUCCGUCGUGA
rnacentral:rRNA from 1 species